GCCGGUGUGGCGCAGCUGGUAGCGCAGGCGAUUUGUAAUCGUCAGGUCGUCGGUUCGAGCCCGACCACCGGCUCCA
rnacentral:tRNA from 1 species